UCCCUAGUGGCUCAGAUGGUAAAGAAUCUGCCUGCAAUGUAGGAGACCCAGGUUCAAUCCCUGGGUUGGGAA
rnacentral:tRNA from 1 species